rnacentral:tRNA from 1 species
CGGGGAUUAGCGCAGCUGGUAGCGCGCAUCGUUCGGGACGAUGAGGCCGCCGGUUCGAAUCCGGCAUCCCCGACCA